GAUGAACGCUGGCGGCGUGCUUAACACAUGCAAGUCGAACGGGAAUUACUUUAUUGAAACUUCGGUCGAUUUAAUUUAAUUCUAGUGGCGGACGGGUGAGUAACGCGUGGGUAACCUGCCUUAUACAGGGGGAUAACAGUCAGAAAUGGCUGCUAAUACCGCAUAAGCGCACAGAGCUGCAUGGCUCGGUGUGAAAAACUCCGGUGGUAUAAGAUGGACCCGCGUUGGAUUAGCUUGUUGGUGGGGUAACGGCCCACCAAGGCGACGAUCCAUAGCCGGCCAGAGAGGGUGAACGGCCACAUUGGGACUGAGACACGGCCCAGACUCCUACGGGAAGCAGCAGUGGGGAAUAUUGCACAAUGGGGGAAACCCUGAUGCAGCGACGCCGCGUGAAGGAAGAAGUAUCUCGGUAUGUAAACUUCUAUCAGCAGGGAAGAUAGUGACGGUACCUGACUAAGAAGCCCCGGCUAACUACGUG
rnacentral:rRNA from 1 species